UUUCGGGGCAGCCGCCCAGCUGCAGCGGCCAACUGACGUCUCUGUGCCUCGAGGCUUCCUCUGCCUGCCGCAGCUUGCUCUACCGGAUCAGUAAUAUCCGCCGCUGCCACCAGCGGCGCCCUCAAGCAGUGACUGACAGGAGUUGGUGUAUAAAUGCCCCAGCAGCCUUGCCUCUUGGGGAGCUUCUGUAGAAGGCAGAACUAUGGUGACGGCGGUGGUCAGGGGCCGAGAGGUGAGGGAAAGGGAUGGACUACAAAUGGGAAAGAAGGAACUUUAGGGAGUGACGGACACGUUCUAUACCUUGAUUUUGAUGGUAGCUAUGCAGGUGAGGCUGUCGAUGACUCCAGGACUUGCAAAAGUGAAUUGAGUAACAGCCCCAAGGACUCAGCAAUUUCAAAAGUCUGAAUGCGUGGUGAAGACGCUGGUGAUGAGCUCUGGCCCCGGAUUCCCAGAUUCCCUCCUGGGUCCCCUGACUAGCUUAGAAGGAGCCAGAUGAACUGCGUUGAAAGGUGGAACCUUCUAAGUUAGAAAGUGCCUCCUUAACAAGGCUUGCGUCAAACCCCCUCUCUUUAAGCAGCUGUGGCUGCAGUUUGAGUAACUUGUCAGGGAAGUGUGAAUUACAAGUCUGUAUUACAAAAGUGUUUAUUUUCAGCCUUUCCAGAAAACAGUGAGAAAGAGGGAAGCAUGCAUAAGAAAGCAGCCGGCAUCUGAGGCAGAAGUUUGCUUUUCCUUAUCCUCUCCCUCCUCCUUUCCAAGUCUUUAACCACAGGUCUAGGCUCCCCGCCCCCGCAAACCUGAGUGAAGCCCUCUGUAGGUUUGGAGAGGUAGAGCAAACAGGAAGAGGGCAGGUGGAGAGGGGCGGAGGAGCUCAGAGGGGCAAAGGAACAAAGGAAGUCCUGGCCUCCCAUCCCGGCCAACCUUCCCCGCCCGGCCCUGCUGCAAUGAAAUGAUUCACAUGAGACUAAUGGCGCAAUGCCACAAAGGAAACCCUUAUUAGAGAGACCUCCCUGAAAUACCCUUGGAAACAGCAUCCCAAAGAUCUCUCUGGCCUUGCUUUGAAGAAUGCAGAAAACUUUCCUUGUCACCAUUUGUAGAGCAUGGUCCAUGGUGAAGGGAAGGGGGGAACUCACACCAGUUCCCCUCCCCUGUACUCCAUCCUGGGCCCCAACUAAAACCUCAGCUUCUCUCCUUCAGCCUGUCAUAAGGGCCUCCCAACAGUCUUGGGCCUCCCAACAGUCUUUGGCCUCCAGGGUGGCCUUCUGGAAAGCAAACCUGCCCCACCCACUGAGCCUCCUCUUUAAGAUAUUUUCACAAGCCCUUCUUGCUGUGGAGAUAAAAUCCAGUGUACAGGACCUCCAGUAGAAGCAAUGAGUACUAAUGAUUUAAAAGCAUCCUCACAAAUCUCAGGAGCUGCAUGACUCCCUUGGAUGAACCUAGAAGGAGCUUCUUUACAAUAUUCAGAGGCCAUGCCUAGGGGCAGGACACAGGAAUCCCACCCAGAUGCUGGUGCUGUUUGCUUUAGGCCUGGACCUCCUGGCCUGUCCAACUCUGCAUCUCUCCAGUCUCCCCAGACCUCUUUGGUACGCAAGGGCAGCCGCCCUACAGAGAAUGCCUGGAGAAGGACAGCCCCAGAUAGUGGAUCCCCCAGCCUGAGGUGGGGAGGAAAUACAGCAGCCCCAGGAGGGAUGGGGAGAUAUAUUCCCAAAGCCUUGUCCACCUGACUCAUCAAUCAAAGCAGCUCAGCACAGUGCUGAGGCAGAGGGAAACAAGGAUCCUGAAGGGUAGAGAGAGCCUUAGGUAGCCUGCAGCAGGAGGUGAACCAGGCCACUUCUGGAGAUGAAGUGAAAAGGUCUGAGGUAGCUUUAUAAAAGAAGGUUUAAGUACACAAGUAGCAAAGGAAUAAAUUCUCCUGAGAAAAUACUGAAACUAUUUCAGAUGAAGCUACUGAAUUAGUUAGGAUGUAUUGAAUUGUAACAGAAUGCCCUAACACAGGUGUAAGCAAU